rnacentral:rRNA from 1 species
CCUACGGGUGGCAGCAGUGAGGAAUAUUGGUCAAUGGGCGCGAGCCUGAACCAGCCAAGUCGCGUGAGGGAAGACGGCCCUACGGGUUGUAAACCUCUUUUGCCGGGGCGCAACGGGCGCCAAGUGUGGCGCCACUGAGAGUACCCGGAGAAAAAGCAUCGGCUAACUCCGUGCAAGCAGCAGCGGUAAUACGGAGGAGGCGAGCGUUAUCCGGAUUUAUUGGGUUUAAAGGGUGCGUAGGCGGAGCGUUAAGUCCAUGGUCAAAUUGAGGGGCUCAACCCCUUCCCGCCAUUGAAACUGGCGCUCUUGAGUGGAAGAGAGGUAAGCGGAAUGCGUGGUGUAGCGGUGAAAUGCAUAGAUAUCACGCAGAACCCCGAUUGCGAAGGCAGCAUGCCGGCUUCCGACUGACGCUGAAGCUCGAAAGCGUGGGGAUCGAACAGGAUUAGAUACCCUGGUAGUC